rnacentral:rRNA from 1 species
AGCGAACGCUGGCGGCAGGCCUAACACAUGCAAGUCGAACGAACCUUUCGGGGUUAGUGGCGGACGGGUGAGUAACACGUGGGAACGUGCCUUUAGGUUCGGAAUAACUCAGGGAAACUUGUGCUAAUACCGAAUGUGCCCUUCGGGGGAAAGAUUUAUCGUCUUUAGAGCGGCCCGCGUCUGAUUAGCUAGUUGGUUGAGGUAAUGGCUCAUCAAGGCGACGAUCAGUAGCUGGUCUGAGAGGAUGAUCAGCCACAUUGGGACUGAGACACGGCCCAAACUCCUACGGGAGGCAGCAGUGGGGAAUCUUGCGAAAUGGGCGAAAGGCUGACGCAGCCAUGCCGCGUGAAUGAUGAAGGUCUUAGGAUUGUAAAAUUCUUUCACCGGGGACGAUAAUGACGGUACCCGGAGAAGAAGCCCCGGCUAACUUCGUG